GACCGGACGGGACGGAACGGGACGGGGAGAAACAGCCGAGUCACGGCCCGGAGCCCGUGAGGGCAGGGCGGGGGAGCUGUCGCCCGUCUCGGGCAGGGUACCUCGCGCUCCCUCAGGGACGGUCUCCAAUGUCAGAUGCCUUCCUCCUUUCAGGAACCUCUGUUGGCGGACGCUACGGUUGCCUCAUGCCAUCACACCUUAUUGCUUCAAGCCGGUUACUUGUCAUACUUCAGGGAAAAAUAACACAAAUUAAGUUCCCUCUUACGUGGCCGUGCAGGGCAAAGCUUUCGCGGUUUUGCCCGCCAUUCCCAAGUGAAGGCGUAGAGAUGGAUUGGGUGCUGGAGAAGGUCCUCCGUAGCUUUGUGUGCUGCAGGACACAAAUCAUCCUCAGCUUUAACGAAUAUCACAGAUGCCUCUUUAAAUGUUACAGUAGAAACGUGGACCUUGUUGGAGUUGUCAGUGUCCUGAGUAGAAGUAGAUGGCAUUAGGAAUAGCUAAAAUGCCUACUUGGACUCCGAAGGUCUAUGUAAGUACAGCCUCUGACUGCAGCUGCUGUGAAAAAAGAAGAAACUAUAAAGAAGGUGUAUUUAUGUACUGUAAAACUGGGAGAAAAUGAGAGACAGGUAAGGUAGUUAAUACCUUUGCUUAGCUGCAUGUAAACCCAUAGCCUUAUUCUUGUUUUGCAGAGUAAGCAAAAUUGUAAAGGUUAAGCAACUUUUCAUGUUCACAUAGCAAGGAGUGGCAAGAUGAUGAAUGGUCUGGCCUUCUGUUCCAACGACUAGACCUUGUGCAUCCUCCACUCUUAUGCAAGUUACUGUAAUUACAUUAUGACUAAAGUGCCAUCUGAAUAAUUUUACCAAUAAAUUUCCCAGGGAAAACACUCUUACCACAUGUAAAAGGUAGGACUAUCUUACAUCUCUGUAAUCACAUCACAUUUCUGCAGUAAAAGAAAAUGUGCUGGUGGUUUCCUGGAAUUAUCCUUGCUUUGUGUUAUCCCUAAAGACUCCAAGUUUGGUACUUGGAGAACACCUGAUACAAGACAGGACUGUCAAUUUCCACAGGAAAAUCAAGGGCCAACCUUAGCUAAUCCUAACACAUGAGUAAUUGCAUAAAACAUGUUUAGGUGUUUUUAUAUUAGUGUGGAUCUCAAGGAACUGCUGCUUAUUCAGAUCUCAGUUCUCAGAGAUUUUAUUUAAAAACCAUAUUGUUCAGGAAGUUACAGAGGGACAUGUUUUAAACUCCUUAGUGGCUUUUCAAAAGAGAUAUGUAAACAAAACUCAAAUUUAUAAUACACAAAUAUAUAUAUGUAAUAUACAUAUUUUUAUAUAUGUAGCUGCAGCAUAUGCUGGAAAAAACAGUUCAAAAAAUAUUAUUGUCAGUGAAAACCCAUCAAAAUUUGUUUAGGUAGGCUGAGAUUAUUUUUUGGAGAUAAUAGCUGUAUAGUAAUUUCUGUUAGUCUUUUACCAGAUUCUACAUACUAUGUCUUCUUUGUCAGGCACACAUGCAAACCCCCACCUUUUUAAUAAGAAUUUCCUCCUCUAAUUUUAAAUUUCUUUUCAGCACAGUAUUCUCAGUUUCCUCUUAUUACUGUACUGGUAAAAAGCUGUUACACAUCAUUCUAGCAGUUCAAUUUCAGCAGGAAACACUGAAAUUUCUCUAUUGUAAAUAUACAGUACAGUUUGUUCCUGUUGUAUAUGUUAUUCUGGUUUUGGUAAAUUUUCAUCAAGAAUUGCAUCAUUAACCCUAACACUUAAAGAUUUUGUUUUAAUUUGAUAUUUCAACUAUUAGUUUUUGAACUCACCUGAGAAGAUGACAGAUUUUGUAAAAAAAAAGUUGCUAUCUUUCUGUUAUUUAUAAAAGAUUUUUUCAAGCUUUCUUGAAGGUUUUUAUAAUCUUUAUGUCAUCAUUAUGACAUGUCAUAAUGUUCCCUACUCUUCUUUGAGUCUAGCAGGUGAAAGAAGCAGCAUUUACAAAAGAAGAAAAAGGAAAAUCACUAGAGGAUAUGCUCUUUUAGGAAGAAACGGGAAGUUUCUAAACAAACACAUGUACACUGACAGUGAAUAAUUCAAACAGUGUGUGUUGUUGCAAUGGCCUGUUAAUAUCCAUACCAAAACAAUCUGUUCACAGCUCACAUGCUGCCUGCAGGACACCCAGUGAACUCCAUUGCCCAGGAAACAAGGGGAGAUAAUGUCAAGCUUUGACAAGAUGAAGAUCAUUCUGGAGCUGUGAAUGACUACCCAUUACAUUUCUGAAUAUUAAAAAUAUUCUUGAAAAAGAAAAAAAAAUAAAUGUAAAUUUAGACCCUUCA